rnacentral:rRNA from 1 species
AUUGGACAAUGGGGGGAACCCUGAUCCAGCAAUGCCGCGUGUGUGAAGAAGGCCUGAGGGUUGUAAAGCACUUUCAGUGGGGAGGAGGGUUGAUAGGUUAAGAGCUAAUUAACUGGACGUUACCCACAGAAGAAGCACCGGCUAACUCCGUGCCAGCAGCCGCGGUAAUACGGAGGGUGCGAGCGUUAAUCGGAAUUACUGGGCGUAAAGCGUGCGUAGGUGGUUGAUUAAGUUAUCUGUGAAAUCCCUGGGCUUAACCUGGGCAGGUCAGAUGAUACUGGUUGACUCGAGUAUGGGAGAGGGUAGUGGAAUUUCCGGUGUAGCGGUGAAAUGCGUAGAGAUCGGAAGGAACACCAGUGGCGAAGGCGGCUACCUGGCCUAAUACUGACACUGAGGCACGAAAGCGUGGGGAGCAAACAG